rnacentral:tmRNA from 1 species
GGGGAUGACUGGAUUUGACAGCGAGGUGAAGUGGUACGUAAGCAUGCAGAGAGUCGAUGCCCCUCUCUUGAAUCUCAGACAUCAAAGAAUUAAUUGGCGAAACUCGUUACGCUCUCGCUGCCUAAUCGAAGCAUAGUAGAUAUGGCCUAAUUCCCCUGCUAGGCGGGGGAACGAGACAUCGCCCAGAAAGCUACAGUCCUGAAGCGUUCUGACCAGCGGUGCUAUAAAAUCGGGAAUAGUCAGCGGAUGCCUCGCUCCGUUGAUGAAGCUUUAGAGGAUAAGGGUGCAGUUGGUGGUCUUGGUCUUGCUGCAUCACGAAAACCCAAGGCAAGAAUAAGCAUGUAGAAAGCGUAUGGCUUCCUUGUUUGGACGAGGGUUCAAUCCCCUCCAUCUCCACA